rnacentral:rRNA from 1 species
UCGGAGGAAAAGAAACCAACAGGGAUUGCCCUAGUAACGGCGAGUGAAGCGGCAACAGCUCAAAUUUGAAAUCUGGCUUCGGCCCGAGUUGUAAUUUGCAGAGGAAGCUUUAGGCGCGGCACCUUCUGAGUCCCCUGGAACGGGGCGCCAUAGAGGGUGAGAGCCCCGUAUAGUUGGAUGCCUAGCCUGUGUAAAGCUCCUUCGACGAGUCGAGUAGUUUGGGAAUGCUGCUCAAAAUGGGAGGUAAAUUUCUUCUAAAGCUAAAUACCGGCCAGAGACCGAUAGCGCACAAGUAGAGUGAUCGAAAGAUGAAAAGCACUUUGAAAAGAGGGUUAAACAGCACGUGAAAUUGUUGAAAGGGAAGCGCUUUGUGACCAGACUUGCGCCAGGCUGAUCAUCCGGUGUUCUCACCGGUGCACUCGGCCCGGCACAGGCCAGCAUCGGUUCUCGCGGGGGGAUAAAGGUCUCGGGAACGUAGCUCCUCCGGGAGUGUUAUAGCCCGGGGCGUAAUGCCCUCGCGGGGACCGAGGUUCGCGCAUCUGCAAGGAUGCUGCGUAGACGGAUU